CUAUUCAGAAGCGUCAUUGCUCUCUGGUGCGCAUGUGCAGCUUUGCCGCACAUGCGCAGAUACUUCAUAGGGCGGCAUUCAUGUCUCGACUAGGAAGCACCUCUAGUGGCCAUCUGAGUGUCCACUGGAGGUAUUCCUCAUCAGUAAUGUAAAUACUGCCUUUUUACGAAAUGGCUGUGCUUACAUUAAAAAGCCUGUAAAGACAUGCUAUAGACACCAGAACUACUAUGUUUAGCUGUUGUGGUUCU